UGCCAGCCGCCGCGGUAAUACGGAGGGGGUUAGCGUUGUUCGGAAUUACUGGGCGUAAAGCGUACGUAGGCGGAUUAAUAAGUUAGAGGUGAAAUCCCGGGGCUCAACCCUGGAACUGCCUUUAAUACUACUAAUCUUGAGUUCGGAAGAGGUGAGUGGAAUUCCUAGUGUAGAGGUGAAAUUCGUAGAUAUUAGGAAGAACAUCAGUGGCGAAGGCGACUCACUGGUCCGAUACUGACGCUGAGGUGCGAAAGCGUGGGGAGCAAACAGGAUUAGAUA
rnacentral:rRNA from 1 species